UGCCCUAGUAACGGCGAGUGAAGCGGCAACAGCUCAAAUUUGAAAUCUGGCCCCAGGCCCGAGUUGUAAUUUGCAGAGGAUGCUUUUGGCAAAGCGCUUACCGAGUCCCCUGGAACGGGGCGCCACAGAGGGUGAGAGCCCCGUAUGGUAUGACGCCGAGCCUCUGUAAAGCUCCUUCGACGAGUCGAGUAGUUUGGGAAUGCUGCUCUAAAUGGGAGGUAAAUUUCUUCUAAAGCUAAAUACCGGCCAGAGACCGAUAGCGCACAAGUAGAGUGAUCGAAAGAUGAAAAGCACUUUGAAAAGAGGGUUAAAUAGCACGUGAAAUUGUUGAAAGGGAAGCGCUUGUGACCAGACUUGCGCCGGGCGGAUCAUCCAGCGUUCUCGCUGGUGCACUCCGCCCGGCUCAGGCCAGCAUCGGUUUUCGCCGGGGGACAAAAGCUUCGGGAACGUGGCUCCCCUCGGGGAGUGUUAUAGCCCGUCGUUUAAUACCCCGGCGGGGACCGAGGACCGCGCUUCGGCAAGGAUGCUGGCGUAAUGGUCACCAGCGACCCGUCUUGAAACACGGACCGAGGAGUCAAGCAUUAGUGCGAGUGUUUGGGUGUAAAACCCGCACGCGUAAUGAAAGUAAACGUAGAUGAGAGCUUCGGCGCAUCAUCGACCGAUCCUGAUGUUUUCGGAUGGAUUUGAGUAGGAGCAUUAACGCUUGGACCCGAAAGAUGGUGAACUAUACUUGAAUAGGGUGAAGCCA
rnacentral:rRNA from 1 species